GAUGAACGCUGGCGGCGUGCUUAACACAUGCCAGUCGAACGGGAAUUAUUUUAUUGAAACUUCGGUCGAUUUAAUUUAAUUCUAGUGGCAGACGGGUGAGUAACGCGUGGGUAACCUGCCUUAUACAGGGGGAUAACAGUCAGAAAUGGCUGCUAAUACCGCAUAAGCGCACAGAGCUGCAUGGCUCAGUGUGCAAAACUCCGGUGGUAUAAGAUGGACCCGCGUUGGAUUAGCUGGUUGGUGGGGUAACGGCCCACCAAGGCGACGAUCCAUAGCCGGCCUGAGAGGGUGAACGGCCACAUUGGGACUGAGACACGGCCCAGACUCCUACGGGAGGCAGCAGUGGGGAAUAUUGCACAAUGGGGGAAACCCUGAUGCAGCGACGCCGCGUGAAGGAAGAAGUAUCUCGGUAUGUAAACUUCUACCAGCAGGGAAGAUAGUGACGGUACCUGACUAAGAAGCCCCGGCUAACUACGUG
rnacentral:rRNA from 1 species